rnacentral:misc_RNA from 1 species
UAAAAUGCGAUACUUGGUAUGAAUUGUUAAAUCGCGUGAACCAUCGAGUCAUUGAAUGCAAGUUACGCCCGAAGCCAUUAGGUUGAGGGCAGGUUUGUCUUGGCAUCUCACGUUGCAUUGCCCUUUCCCUCGAAGGGUUACGGGCGGAUGUUGGUCCCCGUAUGUGCCAGUAUGCUGUUGGAUUGCAACCCCAAGUCUAGUGCAAUUACCCGCUGAGUUUAA